AAAUAGUGCCAGCAACUACAAAAGCAAGUAAUCCACAGGAAUAACAUGUGAAAUAAAGAGAGUACUUUGCUAACUAUUACAAUAGGUCAUCCUUUUCAUUUACAUCAUUUUCUUUAAAUGAUUACAUCUUUCAUCCAAAAUACAUAGCUCUCCAAAUCCUCACCUACAAUGAAUCUCUCUCAAUACAUAGGUGUACUAAUGCAAAAAGGAAAGCUACUAUGCUACCACGGUCUCACUGGUCGGGCGCGAUGCCCUUACCGCGGUCCUCUCUCGGCAGCCCUGUACCUACCACUGGAAAUAGAGUGGGGUGAGAACUAUCUUCCAUAGUUCCCAGUGGGCUCGGCCGCCGACUCUGCCGAUCUCCCCACUAGGUCCAAGUGGGCACAAGCAACAACAGAUAGAUAGAUAGAUAGAUAUCUGAAAGCUGUAAAUGCGAUAGUAGGAAAACUAUGCUACUAUGCCCAUAAUCAUGUGUAAUGAAU
rnacentral:lncRNA from 1 species